ACGGCGAGUGAAGCGGCAAAAGCUCAAAUUUGAAAUCUGGCUUCGGCCCGAGUUGUAAUUUGUAGAGGAUGUUUCGGGCAAGAUCCGGGCUUAAGUUCCUUGGAACAGGACGUCAUAGAGGGUGAGAAUCCCGUACGUGGUCCAGGGUCGCGCCCAUGUGAAACUCCUUCGACGAGUCGAGUUGUUUGGGAAUGCAGCUCAAAAUGGGUGGUAAAUUUCAUCUAAAGCUAAAUAUUGGCCAGAGACCGAUAGCGCACAAGUAGAGUGAUCGAAAGAUGAAAAGCACUUUGAAAAGAGAGUUAAACAGCAUGUGAAAUUGUUGAAAGGGAAGCGCUUGCAACCAGACUUGUUUGUAGGGUUCAGCCGUCGUUCUCGUCGGUGUAUUUCCCUAUCUACAGGCCAGCAUCAGUUCGGACGGAAGGUCAAAGGCCUUGGGAAUGUAGCAUCCUCCGGGAUGUCUUAUAGCCCUCGGUGUAAUGCUUCCAGCCCGGACUGAGGAACGCGCUUCGGCUCGGAUGCUGGCGUAAUGGUUUUAAGCGACCCGUCUUGAAACACGGACCAAGGAGUCUAACAUCUAUGCGAGUAUUUGGGUGUCAAACCCAUAUGCGUAAUGAAAGUGAACGGAGGUGGGAAUCUUCGGAUGCACCAUCGACCGAUCCUGAUGUCUUCGGAUGGAUUUGAGUAAGAGCAUAGCUGUUGGGACCCGAAAGAUGGUGAACUAUGCCUGAAUAGGGUGAAGCCAGAGGAAACUCUGGUGGAGGCUCGCAGCGGUUCUGACGUGCAAAUCGAUCGUCAAAUUUGGGCAUAGGGGCGAAAGACUAAUCGAACUAUCUGGUAGCUGGUUCCUGCCGAAGUUUCCCUCAGGAUAGCAGUAACGUUUUCAGUUUUAUGAGGUAAAGCGAAUGAUUAGAGGCCUUGGGGUUGAAACAACCUUAACCUAUUCUCAAACUUUAAAUAUGUAAGAAGCCCUUGUUGCUUAAUUGAACGUGGGCAUUUGAAUGUAUCGUUACUAGUGGGCCAUUUUUGGUAAGCAGAACUGGCGAUGCGGGAUGAACCGAACGUGAAGUUAAGGUGCCGGAAUAUACGCUCAUCAGACACCACAAAACGUGUUGAUUCAUAUGGACAGCCGGACGGUGGCCAUGGAAGUCGGAAUCCGCUAAGGAACGUGUAACAACGCACCGGCCGAAUGAAUCAGCCGUGAAAAUGGAUGGCGCUCAAGCGUAUUACCUAUACUUCACCGUUAGGGUAGAAAUGAUGCCCUAACGAGUAGGCAGGCGUGGAGGUCCGUGACGAA
rnacentral:rRNA from 1 species